AUGCACGCUGGCGGCGUGCCUAAUCCAUGCAAGUCGAGCGAACAGACGAGGAGCUUGCUCCUCUGACGUUAGCGGCGGACGGGUGAGUAACACGUGGAUAACCUACCUAUAAGACUGGGAUAACUUCGGGAAACCGGAGCUAAUACCGGAUAAUAUAUUGAACCGCCUGGUUCAAUAGUGAAAGACGGUUUUGCUGUCACUUAUAGAUGGAUCCGCGCCGCAUUAGCUAGUUGGUAAGGUAACGGCUUACCAAGGCGACGAUGCGUAGCCGACCUGAGAGGGUGAUCGGCCACACUGGAACUGAGACACGGUCCAGACUCCUACGGGAGGCAGCAGUAGGGAAUCUUCCGCAAUGGGCGAAAGCUUGACGGAGCAACGCCGCGUGAGUGAUGAAGGUCUUCGGAUCGUAAAACUCUGUUAUUAGGGAAGAACAAAUGUGUAAGUAACUAUGCACGUCUUGACGGUACCUAAUCAGAAAGCCACGGCUAACUACGUG
rnacentral:rRNA from 1 species